GUGAAUCAUCAAAUUUUUGAACGCAAAUUGCACUCUCUUCGGAGAGGAUGCCUGUUUGAGGGUCAGCCUAAAAAAAAUCGAUGUAUUCGCUGUUUCGCUGUGACAUUCGUCGGAAAUUGGGUCAUCUUAAACCUGUGGGUUGUUUUAGCUGCUUAAAAUUUUCUUUACGAUUCCACGAACGUUUCUAAGUUUUUACUUCUUACACACGUGUAAGGUUUAGAUCUUGAUGAGUCGUG
rnacentral:misc_RNA from 1 species